rnacentral:rRNA from 1 species
UACGUGGGGGGCAAGCGUUGUCCGGAUUUAUUGGGCGUAAAGAGCGUGUAGGCGGCCAGACAGGUCCGUUGUGAAAACUCGAGGCUCAACCUCGAGAUGUCGAUGGAAACCGUCUGGCUAGAGUCCGGAAGAGGAGUGUGGAAUUCCUGGUGUAGCGGUGAAAUGCGCAGAUAUCAGGAAGAACACCUAUGGCGAAGGCAGCACUCUGGGACGGUACUGACGCUGAGACGCGAAAGCGUGGGGAGCGAACAGG